GACGAACGCUGGCGGCGUGCUUAACACAUGCAAGUCGAACGGAAAGGCCCUGCUUUUGUGGGGUGCUCGAGUGGCGAACGGGUGAGUAACACGUGAGUAACCUGCCCUUGACUUUGGGAUAACUUCAGGAAACUGGGUCUAAUACCGGAUAGGAGCUCCUGCUGCAUGGUGGGGGUUGGAAAGUUUCGGCGGUUGGGGAUGGACUCGCGGCUUAUCAGCUUGUUGGUGGGGUAGUGUCUUACCAAGGCUUUGACGGGUAGCCGGCCUGAGAGGGUGACCGGCCACAUUGGGACUGAGAUACGGCCCAGACUCCUACGGGAGGCAGCAGUGGGGAAUAUUGCACAAUGGGCGGAAGCCUGAUGCAGCAACGCAGCGUGCGGGAUGACGGCCUUCGGGUUGUAAACCGCUUUCGCCUGUGACGAAGCGUGAGUGACGGUAAUGGGUAAAGAAGCACCGGCUAACUACGUG
rnacentral:rRNA from 1 species